rnacentral:lncRNA from 1 species
UUACUUCCUUGCUCGGCUCGUGUCUUCAGGGAUCAUCGUCAUCAUCGAAGGUUCAUGUCAUAAAAUGAAUCCCGAUUAGAAACUCAACGACAAAAACUCAUGCCUCAACUCAUGCUCUAUAUUAUAUUCUAUCUCCUUAACCAACUCUACAUAAACUCUUCACUCAUUUCAAAUCCUUAAGUCCAAGGAUAGAUUUCAAGAAAAUCAUGGUUCUAAGUCUCGAUUCAUCUCUCAUAUAAGACUCGUCUAAUCUCAUUCAAACACUUAGGCAACAUAAACACAUAAGGCACAUAAGAGAAUACAAUCAAACAUCAACAAAACAUGUUCUGUUUUCCCACUGACUCAACUUCAAAAUUUAACACGUUCUGACUCUGACAUCCCCUGGACUCCAGACUCAUACCAAAAGAAAGGUAUUUGAGUCUAGUUUCAUUUAAAAAAAAGUAGAGUCAGAAACUCCAAGUGGUUUGGGAGAUAUGACUGUUUUACUACAGUCUACCAUAUUCGGCAGUUUUGAGCAAUCGACAAGUUUGAUUUUUCAAAAAUAGUAAACGUUGUCAAAAGGAGCUCAAAUUUGGUGGAUAUCUACCCCAUACAGUAAGGUUGAUACCAUAAAAAUUUGGAAAUCUAAUUCACACAGGAAGUCACUGAAAUGAAUGACUUUGUCCCCUGUUCUCUGAAAUUCCCGGCAGAAAUGUGCAGAUUUGGUUUUGCAUUUUAUAAAAAUAGUAAAUCAAGUCCAAAUGACUUGAAAUUUUACAGAGGUGCUCAAGACUCAUGUAGGGACAUUCUGUAAAAUUUUCAAAGCUUUUGGAUAUCGACAAACCGUCGAUCACAGUAGGUCAGUAGCCUACGAAAAAUCACCAAAAAUCAUUCCCAACUCUUAAAUGCUCAAUUCAACAUUUAUACAAAGCAAAACACAUCAAAACUCNCACGUUCUGACUCCGACAUCCCCUCGGACUCCAGACCCAUACCAAAAGAAAAGGUAAUUUAGUAGUCUAGUUUCAUUUAAAAAAACGUAAGAGUCAGAAACUCCAUGUGGUUUGGGAGAUAUGGCGUUUUUACCUAAGAUCUACCAUAUUCGGCAGUUUUGAGCAAUCGGAAACAUUGAUUUUUUAAAAAUAGUAAACGUUGUCAAACUGAGCUCAAAUUUGGUGGAUAUCUAUCCCAUACAGUAAGGUUGAUACCAUAAAAAUUUGGAAAGCUAGAUCACACAGGAAGCUACUGAGAUGAAUGACUUUGUCCCCUGUUCUCUGAAAUUCCCGGUAGAAAUGUGCAGAUUUGGUUUUGCAUUUUAUAAAAAUCGUAAAGCAAGUCCAAAUGACUUGAAAUUUUACCGGUAUGCUCAACACUCAUGUAGGGACAUGCUGUAAAAUAUUCAAAGCCAAUAGACAUCGACAACCCGUCGAUCACAGUAGGUCAGUAGCCUAGAAAAAUCACCAAAACUCAUCUCAAACUCUUAAAUGCUCAAUUCAACAUUCCUUCAAAGAAACCAAUCAAAACUCAAUUUAAACACAUAUAACACUACAAAAACAUUACAAAAACAUUAAAAUACUCAUAAUACUCAAUCUUGACUCUUUUCUUUCAUCAUCCACUCAAAUCUCAUAGAAAACACUUCAACGAACAUAUCUAACAAAUUCCUUUCAAUUUCAUGCUCAAAAUUUCUCAAUCAUUCAUUAUUGACCUCAUACAUCAUGUAACUCAUUUUACACAUAUAUUUCCCUUUUUAUCAUGUAAACUAACUCUAGUGAAAAACUCAUAUAUCAACAUAAAAUUCUCAACAAAAGCAUGACAACUUUCACAUAAUGGUCAUAGAUCAAAAUAGACCACAUUUAAACAAUCGAUGACUUCUCAAAUAUGAAAACUCAAAAACUCUCAUAAACUAACUCAAGUCAAAAUUUUACUUGGCUUAGAAAAGACUUAAUCAAACAUAUUAAAACACUACUAUCAUGCUCAAUUACCUAUAUUUUAAGCCAAAACACUUAAUAGACAUAUAUACAAGAAAGUCCUAAUUUUUAUUAAACUAACUCUUUGAAAUUUUAUAAACUCACAUGGAUCUUUAAUCUCAUCAUAUAUCUAUCAAUUCUUAGCCAAUUAAUCUCACAUCAAAACCAUCAAUUCACAAAUAAGGGCAUAUAUACACAUAUCCCUAAUUCUAGUAAACUAACUCAUAUCAAAAUUCCAAUUGACAUCAUAUACUCAAAUUAAUCCAUCAAUCAUCAUCAUAAACAUCUCAUAGACUCAUAUACAUCAUCACUUCAUCACCUUGAUCAUCAACUCAAAAAUUCCCAAAUUUGGGGUAAACUAACUCAACCAAAUUUUUACAUCACAAAGCAUAGCUUUUCAAAACACACACAAAUCAUUACCAAACAUCACAUAGAUCAUUUUUCUCACCUCAAUUCAAGGAAAGAAAAAGAAAAAUUUUUGAAGGGUAGAACACCCAAAUUUUCGAAAAUUAGAAGAAAAAGGGAGGGGGUGAUUUCUUGCUCCAAUCCUUCAAAUAAACUCACAUACAAACUCAUACAAGUCUAAUCCAUGAAUUCAAAACUCACUUACCCAAACUUACACCCAAAACCAAACUUUCUCUUUCUAACUUCAAGAUUGAAUCUCCAUGGAUCUUCUUGAAUCUAAGGAGAUGGAAGUGUUUAGUGUAAGAUUUAGAGGGUGAUUUGUGUUUUUGGUGUGAUUUUGUGAAGCUCCGAAGGUGCAUCAAUGGAGGAAAAAUGGUGGAAAGUGAAGUGAGAGAUGAGGGAGAGGGAGAGAGAUCGAAAAUGGGGUGGAGAAGAGAGAGGAAAAUCCUUUGCAAGAUAUAGAAGGAUUUGGCUAAUCUUUGGAAAGAUUUGUGAAUCUUAGAGAAUAUUUGGCAUUAAUGCCUCUUCUCACUCUAAUCUCUUCUUUCUCUCUCAAAUCUCUACACUUUCCUCUCACUAAUCUCU